CACCCUGUCUGCUCCUGAUCUCGUCUGAUCUUGGAAGCUAAGCAGGGUCG
rnacentral:rRNA from 1 species